AGAGGAAGGAGAAGUCGUAACAAGGUUUCCGUAGGUGAACCUGCGGAAGGAUCAUUGUCGAAACCUGCAAAGCAGACCGCGAACACGUGUUUAACAAAAUCGGGGCGGCGGUGAGGGGGCAUGCCCCCGCCUGCUGUCCCAACCCCGAACGGGGCGGCGUUUGUGCCGCCCUGAGCGGGCCUAACAAACUCGGGCGCGGAAUGCGCCAAGGAAAACUGAAAGGUGCGUCCCCCUCCCCAUGCCCGUACGCGGUGCAAUGGGGUGGAAUGGACGUCCGUCGUAAUACCAAAACGACUCUCGGCAACGGAUAUCUCGGCUCUCGCAUCGAUGAAGAACGUAGCGAAAUGCGAUACUUGGUGUGAAUUGCAGAAUCCCGUGAACCAUCGAGUCUUUGAACGCAAGUUGCGCCCGAAGCCAUUAGGCCGAGGGCACGUCUGCCUGGGCGUCACGCAUCGCGUCGCCCCCCCUCCUACUGGGAGCGGGGGCGGAGAAUGGCCCCCCGUGCGACCUGCGCGGCCGGCCCAAAUGCGGUCCCCCGGCGACGCACGUCGCGGCCAGUGGUGGUUGAACUAUCAACUCGCGUGCUGUCGUGACGGAGGCGUCGUCCGUCGGGAACACGAGACAAGACCCAAUGGCGCACAGCGCCUACGACUGCGACCCCAGGUCAGGCGGGACUACCCGCUGAGUUUAAGCAUAUCA
rnacentral:rRNA from 1 species